rnacentral:rRNA from 1 species
CCUACGGGGUGGCUGCAGUGGGGAAUAUUGGACAAUGGGCGAAAGCCUGAUCCAGCCAUGCCGCGUGUGUGAAGAAGGCCUUCGGGUUGUAAAGCACUUUCAGUGGGGAAGAAAGCCUUGGGGCUAAUACCCUCGAGGAAGGACAUCACCCACAGAAGAAGCACCGGCUAACUCCGUGCCAGCAGCCGCGGUAAUACGGAGGGUGCGAGCGUUAAUCGGAAUUACUGGGCGUAAAGCGCGCGUAGGCGGUCUGAUAAGCCGGUUGUGAAAGCCCCGGGCUCAACCUGGGAACGGCAUCCGGAACUGUCAGGCUAGAGUGCAGGAGAGGAAGGUAGAAUUCCCGGUGUAGCGGUGAAAUGCGUAGAGAUCGGGAGGAAUACCAGUGGCGAAGGCGGCCUUCUGGACUGACACUGACGCUGAGGUGCGAAAGCGUGGGUAGCAAACAGGAUUAGAUACCCCAGUAGUC